CUUUGAUUUAGACUGGGGUAUUUGCUCUUGCGGUUUUGACCCUUAGGUGAUAUUGCUCGUUGAUUUAAGUCUCCGUGACGUCUUUUCUUUUGCACUUUCAUGUUGUACCAUGACUUCAGACCCGUGAUGGUGGCUAAAUGGGUAAGUGGAGUUUUGAGGCCAUUUGCAAGUUUGAAGCCGGUGUGCACCUGGCUUUUGGUAUGCUGCUCAGGACACAAGGUGAUGCUCAUUAAGCGGUUUAUGUUGGUGAUCCGUCAUCUAUAUGUGCUGCAAGAAAUGCUUUGGAUUUUUGCUUGGGAUGCUUUGCCGGUGUGUGAACUAUUUUGUGAGCUGUUAGUAUGGCAGGUUUUUGAUGCUAACCAAAUGGCCCUGCAGUGGAUUUCUAUCCUGCAAUGCGGUCGGUUAUUCACGGCUGCCACUUUAGAGUUUUUUGAAGGAGUGUUGAUGCGUCAGCGGAAAUGUUGGUUAACAGGGUAGUUGGCUCAAUUUAAAGACACAGUUACAGGUUAUAAGUUGGUUGUGAUUUACCUUUUCAGAACAAUCGGUAAGGUUGUACAUACCAUAGGUAACAUAGUUUUAGAAAUGUACGUUUCCUGUUCGUACUUGGAACUGCUGUGAGUUAUGAUUUGACCAGGGCCACUUUGUUGCAGGUUUUUUAAAUGCGUAACUUGCCGGUGAUAAUUUCCAUACAUUCCUAUGCACUUAAUCUUGGCGCACCUGUAUUCACGUUCACAUUAUGGGCAUGGCGCUGCUAGCUCUGGGAUCCACAGGUCAUUGCAUGCCGCGAGGGAGUCUCUGUAAUGUCUUUGGAGACCAAUGCGAGAAGAGGUCGGGGCAAUCUGUAAUCUGUCAUGACAGGAUGAUGUGUGUUUUUGUUUUAGAAAAUUAUUUCUUUCAUUUGGCUUGGCUCUAACAUUAUUUAGAACCUAGGAUUGCUUGCAACCGACAUCAUGAUGUGUUUCUAUUGAUGAUAUUUGAAACAAAUAUGUUUGUAGACCCCGAAUUUGUUCAGUGAAUGUAAUUUCAAACCAACACUUUAAGCCAUACAAUGUUCGUA